GUAUUCUUCGCGAAUGAACCAGAUCCUGAACGCACUUCGACGUCGCCGCUCACCGCUUCCCUAGGGAUGCCGCUGGCUCGUCAUGCAUUCGCGUUCACGGUUCGGUAAUACUUGAGCGCACGAAAUGAAGCCACGGACAUUCCGUGGCUUUUGU
rnacentral:ncRNA from 1 species